GACGAACGCUGGCGGCGUGCCUAAUACAUGCAAGUCGAACGAGAGCAACCGGUGCUUGCACUGGUCAAUCUAGUGGCGAACGGGUGAGUAACACGUGGGUAACCUGCCCAUCAGAGGGGGAUAACAUCCGGAAACGGAUGCUAAAACCGCAUAGGUCUUCGAACCGCAUGGUUUGAAGAGGAAAAGAGGCGCAAGCUUCUGCUGAUGGAUGGACCCGCGGUGCAUUAGCUGGUUGGUGAGGUAACGGCUCACCAAGGCCGUGAUGCAUAGCCGACCUGAGAGGGUGAUCGGCCACAUUGGGACUGAGACACGGCCCAAACUCCUACGGGAGGCAGCAGUAGGGAAUCUUCCGCAAUGGACGCAAGUCUGACGGAGCAACGCCGCGUGAGUGAAGAAGGUUUUCGGAUCGUAAAACUCUGUUGUUAGAGAAGAACAAGUGCUAGAGUAACUGUUAGCGACUUGACGGUAUCUAACCAGAAAGCCACGGCUAUCUACGUG
rnacentral:rRNA from 1 species